AAGUUAACCCAUCUUUAAUCAUUUAAUAACUAUGGUAAAACUAAGGGUAAAUUGCACUGUUACCCCCUGAACUUUUGGCGUAGUUUCACUUUAUCUCUCGAACUCCUAAAAUAGACAUCUAACCCCCUAAACUCUAAUAUUUCGUUCAUGUUACCCCUUCCGUCAGUUUUUCGUCAAGCUUUGUUAACCGGAAACUGACGGAAGGGGUAAAACGAAUGAAAUAUUAGAGUUUAGGAUGUUAGAUGUCUAUUUUAGGAGUUUGGGGGAUUAAGUGAAACUCGCCAAAAGUUCAGGAGGUAGUAAUGCAAUUUACUCCGUAAGGGAUUCUUGACUAUAAAUUAUUUUAUUAUAAUAUGUUACUUAUGGAUUGACUACUAAUCAUCAAGUAAGUAAUCAUACUUGAUUUUGAAUUUAUAUAUAUUUUUUAUCCUAAAAUAAAUCAUACCAUAAUUUAUCUUACAUUUUAUUGUAAUAAAAUAAAAGUGAAAGAAAUGAAUUAGAGUGGCUUAAAGAUAAAAAAAAGAGCGAUACUAACUACCUACGAUACUCGAACACUCUACUAUCCUGGUGUACUCGCUAAUAUGAUUAAUUUACAAUAGGUGUCCUCACUCGGAUAUAGAGAUUUUAAUUCUCAGUUAAUUUUCUGUAAUACUCGUUUGUCCCUUUUAUCUUUAGAAGUAUUGUUCUAUAAAAUACACUUAAAUAAAAUUUUUUUACUUCAUUUCAGCCAAUUAUAAAUUUUUAAUAUAAAGGCUAAAUUACAGAAAAUUCCCUUGUAAUAACCCGCUUUUUCAUUUUCCCCCCUAACAUUUAAAAACCUAUACUUUGCCCCCCUGUAAAAUGAAAAAUAUUCACGGGGGGGUUACGGUGUGUAAAAUGACCAUUUUGCCCCUCGCCAUUGUCGUCUUCUUCCCCAUCUUCCUCAGUCGUCCCUUCGUUCGGCCGCGAUUUCCACCUCAAUCGGCCGCGAUUUCUCUCCAUUUCCUUCUCCAUCUGCUCUCCUUCUCCUCCUGCACCCUCGCCGCCCUCGAUUUCGGCGACAGUAGAAGAAAAUCGAGGUGGGCGACAGUAGGAGAAUGGCAAAAAAAGCGAAGGCGAGGCGGCGAAGGACAGCGAAGGGGAUGUGGGUGAGGGCGAGGCAGUGGAGAACGGCGAGGCGGCGACGAGGUGGCGACCCGGAGGGAGGCGAAGCAAUAGGAAGAUGGCGGAGGGGUAUUUUCGGCAUAAAAAUAUAUUUUUUAACGGAACCCGAACAGAACCCUAACGGUAGGGGGUGAAGUGCACAUUUUUUAUUUUACAGGGGGGCAAAAUGUAGGUUUUUAAAUGUCAGGGAGGGAAAGUAAAAAAGCGGGUUAUUACAAGGGAGUUUUCUGUAUUUUAGCCUAAUAUAAAAAUAUAAAAAAAAAUUUAUAGUAAAAAUUUGGAUAAAUUAUAUUGUUACCCCCUGAACUUUUAGCGAGUUUCACUUAAUCCCCCAUACUCCUAAAAUAGAUAUUUAACACCCUAAACUCUAAUAUUUUAUUCAUUUUACCCCUUCCGUCAGUUUCCGGUUAACGGAGCUUGACGGAAAACUGACGGAAGGGAUAACAUGAACGAAAUAUUAGAGUUUAGGGGGUUAGAUGUCCAUUUUAGAAGUUCGAGAGGUAAAGUGAAACUUCGCCCAAAGUUCAGGGAGUAACAAUGCAAUUUACUCGUAAAGCUAACACAACUAACAGCAGAAAUAUUGAUGAUAAUUUUCUGUUUACAUGGACAUAUGUGAUAUUUUAAACUCUAUAGAAGCAUUAGAGAUAUCAAUGGGUAGGAUUCGGGGCGAAUUUUUAAAAAUCCGAAUCCAAACCCGACUCCAAACCCGAGACCCGAACCUGAACCCCAACUAAAGGUGUAAAACGAGCC
rnacentral:lncRNA from 1 species